ensembl:lincRNA
GGCUGCUUUGCAGGUGGCUGGGAGACACAGCUUGUCUCUCUGCCUAUUAAAGAGUGAGCAUAUCCCAUUUACCCGCAACAUAUCAUACAACAGUGUUUCAUAAAUAUAAGGCUGUUUACCCAAGAUGUGAGGCUUAUCCUAACAGGUUAGGAGACAAUGAUGGGCCUGACUCUACUAUUUUGCCUGCUGUCUUUUCAAUUUCCUUUUGUUUUUCCUGCAAGAAACAUUUCUCUGAAGUGCAUGCAAGAUACUGAUGAAUUCCUUUCUGAUCUGAAUUCAGUGAAGCCCAAAGAAUACGCUCUAAGAAGGUUUCUAGGAGCCAUGGUUCAUGCUCUGGAGUGCUUUUCUUGGCAGAAGAAUGUGCCAGCCAUCUGGACUACAAAGACACCAGGCAGCACCUGCUCUGCACUGAAUGGCAUUCGUGUUUUGAGUCUUCUGUGGAUCAUCUCGGGACAUACCAGUCAGAUGACUGCAUGGCUGUCUUUGGGUGCGGAGAGUUGAUGAGCCUUUACUCUGGGAGCAGUCAGGGAAGAGACACUCUUUGGUAUGGCGGGAUCAUGGUGGCCAAAGGAUGGGGGUCUGGCAGCCUUCCCACGAGCAGCCUUCCUUCUGUUUUAGAGACACUGUGUGUGACCUCCCAUCAGUAAGGUUUCCAGGCCAGUGUCUAGUGGCUCAUUUCACUCCCUCUAGGUACAAAUCAGGCACCUGGCUGCCAGGUGAAUACUGAUACCUGGGUAUUGUAUUUUCGUUAUCCAAAAAGCCGAGUUCUCUCUCAUCAUGGUUAACGAAGCCAGGACCUAACAUUUAUUUUUCCUUGAAAAGCAGACAAGCAUAAAUAAAAAUGGUCCACUAAUAUCAAAUCAGUGUUUCUCCACCUUCUUCCUGCUGCUACCGUCCUGAAGCGCUCCUAUCAAUAAUAGUGGUACUCUCUAAACAGGGGGCAAACACAGCCCAGGGCAGAUUGAAGAAGCCUCCUGGGUGAUCUGUACCAGCCCAUGAUAGGUAGUGCUAUAGUCCAAGGGGGUUGUGGCCACUGUAAGUGCAUAAAGGAGCUUAAAGCUCCUGAACGACCGUUAGGGACCUCAGUCACCACCUUUUAUUCCCAGUCUAACUUCUCCUCCUACAUGAAUUACAGUGAUUCUUCUUCUUCUUCUUUUUUCUUUCUUUCUUUCUUUUUUUUUUUGAGACGGAGUCUCACUCUGUUACCCCUUGGGCUGGAGUACAAUGGCGUGAUCUCGGCUCACUGCAACCUCCACCUCCCAGGUUCAAGCGAUUCUCCUGUCUCAGCCUUCCAAGUAGCUGGGAUUAUAGGCGCCUGCCACCACGGCUGGCUAAUUUUUUGUAUUUUUAGUAGACACGGGGUUUCACUAUGUUGGCCAGGCUGGUCUCGAACUCCUGACCUCGUGAUCCACCUGCCUUGGCCUCCCAAGUGUUGGGAUUACAGGCGUGAGCCAUCGGCCCGGCCUAUAGUGAUUCUUAAAACCUGCCCAGUACAACCAAAAGUUGAAGGUGUUCCUCUUGCUUUUUCUGAAAAGAGAAAUCACAUGAUUUUCUUCUAUGAAAUAAAAAGACACUGCUUUUUAAUGUUUGUUACAGAUAACGUGCUUGAAUGGAAAAGCAGAGUGCUUAGAAACCCACUGUACAUUUACUCUCGGAGCGGUCCCUUCUAUCUUGGAGUGGAUACAUUUUUCCUGAUCAGUGGUUGGUUAAGUGCAAGGUCAUUUUUAAAGAUGCAUCAGAAUUCAGACAAAGGAAUAACCCCUAAAGUCAUACUCAGAUACUUUCUCAGUCGCCUGGCAAGGAGUACACAAAUCCUCAUCUUCCUUGGAGCCAUGCUGUUCCUGGCAUCUUUCACAGCCACUGCUCUGAUCACAUUGGCAUAUAAACUUCCUGUGGUGGCUCCAUCAGAAGCCAGUGAAGAGGCGACUGUAUCGUAUUUUGUGGAGUACUACACAAAGCCCUACUGCCGAUUCGGGCCAUUUCUUGUGGGGCUCUUUCGGAGCAUUUACAUGCACCAAAAACAACCAGGAAAACAUUCUCAGAAACCAAGAUGCAGGUCCUGCUGGGGUGGAGCUGCUCCCUGGCCACCCUAUUUGCGGUGGCCGCUCUGGCAUACGUGGUGGACGACGCCUCUGCUUCCUUUCCAGUAG